rnacentral:lncRNA from 1 species
GCAUCCCUACUCCACUCCAAGUGAAAACAGCUGAACAUGGUUCCUUUUUUUAAUUUUAAGCAGUGGAGCUCCAAAGAAGAAAGAAGGAACAGUUCAUCCAAACAGAGAAGAAAAUCUAGAAACAACGCUAUCACCAAAGGCUGGAUCUAAGGCGAUACUCUAGUGUUAUUUCUCUGCUGCAGCGUUGAGCUCCUCCUCUUCUUCUCCUCAUGUAUGAUCUCCGAAUUGAUCCCACAUUCGAGCGAAGUUCUACUCCGUCAUCCCAUUCAGUAUGCAAGCUCCCCUCUUUUCUUCCAUCUCCUUUCUUGGUCUUCUACCUCUUUCUUUGCCCCGUUCCCUAAAAAUCAAGAACCCUAAACCUAAAAAUUCAGAAAUUCAUGGACGAGGACAGGGAAAGGAAUACGAGUAGGGAGAUCUUACAUGCGAGCAAACCACCAGACGUGGAGAGGGACGCCGAAGAAGUCAUUGCCGUCACCGAGCUCGCGCCGUACCUUUACACUGCCCAAUUUGCCCCCUGGUCGCCACCGCAUCAAGAGAGAAAGGGGGAGCACUCGACGUACGAGAGAGGGGAGUAUACCUUGCCUCCGGGUCAUCCUUCCGGCACCGGCGCCAUUGUCUUCGUUGCCGCGACCUCCGCAAUCGUCAGAGAGGAAGGAUGUCGAGCACAGCCGCCGCUGGUAGUUCAUCCUCAAAGGUGAACCGCUCGCAGCUAAUUAGAAAAGAUAUUUUUUUGGGAGGGAUUAUAUUACAGAAAAUAUUGAUACGGG